UACGGGGGGUGCGAGCGUUAUCCGGAUUUAUUGGGCGUAAAGCGAGCGCAGGCGGUUAGAUAAGUCUGAAGUGAAAGGCUGUGGCUUAACCAUAGUAUGCUUUGGAAACUGAUUAACUUGAGUGCAGAAGGGGAGAGUGGAAUUCCAUGUGUAGCGGUGAAAUGCGUAGAUAUAUGGAGGAACACCGGUGGCGAAAGCGGCGCUCUGGUCUGUAACUGACGCUGAGGUACGAAAGCGUGGGGAGCAAACAGG
rnacentral:rRNA from 1 species